rnacentral:lncRNA from 1 species
AGAGGGGCAUUAUGUUUUCUGGUCUGUGCCUCCGUACGUUCGUCUGUGCGUCCGUUCGUUCGCAGGUUAAAGUUUUUGGUCAAGGUAGUUUUUGAAGAAGUUGAAGUCCAAUCAACUUGAAACUUAGUACACAUGUUCCCCAUGAUAUGAUAUUUCUAAUUUUCAUGCCAAAUUAUAGUUUUGACCCCAAUUUCAUGGUCCAC